UCUUAAUAAACAGCACAAAGAUUUUUCUCAUUCUCAAGAUAUUUUGUGUGUCUAAACUGCUGUAACCAUGCUGCUAAGGAGUUCUUCAACACCAGUUCUUGAAUCCCUUCUCUCAUCUUUCUCAGACACUCCCACCAAUCUUGUUUCCAAUAAGCACUACUCCUCCAACUUCAAUAGGUCUCCUUUUCAUCAUCAAAAUGGCCGUUUCAAUCUCAGUACUACUGUCUCCUGCAGCUCCUCUCCCAUCUCUCCUUCUGUUGCUGAAUUCUAUGACUAUUCCCUUGAAGGUCUUCGCCGAACUCAGUCUGAAGGCAAUCUUGAAGGACUGGCUUAUGUUUCUUGCAGUAAUAAUAAUGAAGAUUGCCCAAAUUCAAGCCAGAAGGUUUCUGCAAGACAAAAGUGUUUGAUGUUGGAAACUAUACCCUCCUUUUCGCUCUGUAAUUUGAGAGGUCGCUAUGAAGAAGAGGAAUAUGAGGAUUAUGAUGGUAGUGACUUAGAAGAUGGGGAAGACAAAAAACAAGUGGAUGUAAAUGCGGUAAGGGAAAUUGGCCCCUUUGGCUCAAGUAGUGAGAUGGAGAACAUGGUUUUGAGUGAGCAGGUGGGAAUUGUUGAUAGAAGUUUGAGUGUGAGUUUUGAAGAGAAAAGAGGAUUGAUUAGUGAGGAAAUGUAUCUUGCAAGAGGGCUAGGAAUUGAUGCUGGUAGCAGCUAUGGCAAUGGCAGCAGAGGUGGUUCUGGUGGCAAUGGUGGCGGUGGUGGUGCAUUUCAUUGGGGAGGUGGAGAUGGAGACGUGGGUGGCACAGAGGAGCAUUAUAAGAAGAUGGUGCAGGAAAAUCCUGACAACUCCUUGUUUCUGAGGAAUUAUGCACAAUUUCUGUAUCAGGUGAGUGUUCAUUUCCAUAACCCACCUUUAUUGAUGACUAGCUAGAAUCCCGUCAGAGGCAAAGCUUGAUUUCUUAUUCAGUAAAACCACAAUUAUUUCCAGUCGAAGGGAGAUCUUCAAGGAGCAGAGGAGUAUUACUCUCGUGCCAUAUUAGCAGAUCCUAAAGAUGGUGAAGUUCUAUCACAGUAUGCAAAGAUGGUAUGGGACCUACAUCAUGAUCAAGAAAGAGCUUCGAGCUACUUUGAACGGGCAGUUCAAGCAUCUCCUGAAGAUAGUCAUGUACAUGCAGCAUAUGCUAACUUCCUCUGGGAAACAGAGGAGGAAGAUGAUGAAGGCAAUGUGCCAAAAGAUUUGGAAGCCCCGCCCCCACAUUUCCAUCAAGACUUAAUGGCUUCUACAGGUUAUCUGUGGGAAGUCAAAGGCAGCACAUAAACACUGUUGUGGGGGAAUGUUGAUGCAGAAAAUGGGCAUCAAUGUAAAACUCUUUCGUGCCAUGGAACAACACUAAAGAUAUUCGUUUUCCCUAUUGCCAUAUAUUGGUGCUUGUGAUAGUUACAAGAUAAAUGAAGAGUACUUGCAGCUUUACGCAGCAGCAAGUAUAAAUCAGGAAAUUCGUGAUGAGAUCAGUGUUUGGAACACACUUUAUAGGCAGAUUAUGCAUGAGUAUUGAUGAUUGGCUAACAGUCACGUCACGACCAAGUUCACUUGUGUAACAAUCCCAACCUUCAGAAACUUGCAAAAAUGGCGCUGAGUUGAUUAAAGAUAUGAGUAUCAUAUGUUUAAAUAUCAAAACACAGUUUCGAUUCCAUCUCAAUCAACUAAAACCUUGUAACUCUAUCCUCAAUCUUUUAACUUUCAUUUGUUGCAUGCCUCUUCCAUGGAAAUGAAAUUUCAGAACUUUAAUUUAAAUUAAAGUUUUAAGAUUAGCAAGGUAGUUAUGGGUGAGAAGAUUGCUGCUUAGUAUGUAGAAUGAUAAUUGGCUAUGAACUAUUUAAAAUAAAUUAAAAGAAAAAAAGAAUGAAAGAGACCAUUGUUUGAAUUCUGCACUGAAAGUGACCACUCAAGGAGAGAAGAAAAUCCUAGAUACAGGAAAUGCAGAUUUUUUAAAUCAAAAAGAGCCUCGUAUAACCCAUAAAACCAACGCAUCACAUUCCCUCACAGCAGGGCUUAAAAUUACCCAAAAUCUCCCACUUGAAUUGCAUAUAAAAACCUUUCAAAGGGAUCAGAAACGCAAUCAGACGCAAUAACAGUAAAAAAGACAUCUCUAACACUCCAUGUGAGACACACCCCAAAAAGUACAUGUUGAAAGGAAAAUAUUCAAUCAGGAACCAGUAACUCAAAACCCUGUAUCAUCUUUAGAUCAGAAAACCUUGCUUUAGGCCUGAGUGCUUCCUGCCUGUGCACACCCUGUUUCUUGUUUCUCAAUAACCUUACUCCUACCGUGUACCACGCUGAUAGAAACCAUUGCCUCUUGCUCUGGUGUAGUCACCACCAUCUUGAUUGCUUCCCCUGCCCAAACUACGGGCACCAAAUCGCCCCCUUGGUGCAUCUGUUUGGUAGCCACCUCUGCCUCUUCCCCUUCUUCCUCCUCGAGAAGCAAUGCCACUGUUUGGUCUUCGCUCCUCAAUGUAGACUUGCCUUCCAGCCAGCAGUAUUGGUGAGGCCUUGAUUGCAUUUUGAACACUGGCAAGGUCUUCGAACUCAACAAAAGCAUAGCACACACCAACCACGUCCUUUCGAUUCCUGAUGAACACACCAUCAGGCUUGAUUCUGCCAAAGUUCUUAAAUUCCUGCUCAACUUCUGCAGCAGUAACAUUGGAGGGCAAGUUUCUCACAUAGACAGAUUUUGGUUCACCUUCAUCUAGUCCCAAGCCUUCCUCUGUUGCCUCAAAUCCAGAUUCCGCCACAUAAGACAAUCCAGAGUCUGAAUGCUGAGCAGGAGGUGAUGGUAUAUUAUCCCAACCUGACAUAGUUGGGGCACUCUUGAUAACUGAUGGCUGAGUAGCAACUGAUGACUGCCCCUUAGCAACUCUUAAUAUAGAAGCAUAAGUUUUCUUUGGAGGUUCUUCUACAGGCUCCUCCAGAGAAGAAACUGGAGGAUCUUGCACAACAUUCACAGCACUUUCAAAUGAAGCAGGCGUCUCCUCAACAGGAGCUUCUUCAACUACAAUUUCAGUCUCAAAGUCCUGUGGCUGCUGUUGCUCUGGGAGACUGUACUUGUCUACUGGAUCAUCUUCUAUGUUAACUGAGUUCACAUACUCCCUGGGUUCUUCCUCUAAAACAUAGUCAGAAACUACAAACUCAAAUAUUUUAACACAAUUAGAAAACAAUACUCUGUAACAUCAAAUAAUCCUGAUGAAUUAGAUGCAAAUGAUGGUACAGAAAAAUAAGUCUUGAAGACUGAAAAGUGGAUUUUUCAAGCAGGCACUUUUAAACGCAUGGUCUUUCCGGUUCUUUUUAACUGAUAGAUCUGAACUAAAGAGUUUCUCCCACCUCAGCCCUUUACCACAUUGAUCUAAUAGCCCAAAGACACGCACACAUAGUUACAUCAGAUCUUCCAUGCUAAGAUUCAUCAAACAAACUCGAAAAAAGGAAGAAAACUGAAGCACAUAUGCACCUGGCAAUGAAGGGAAGAACAAAAUUUACUUCAUCAAACGAGUAGUGUUCCAAUGAAUUUGUGAUAUCUUGUUACAACACAUUAAAAAUGAAAACAAUCCAUGACGACAUAAUUUUAGUCAUAAUUGCAUUAGCUUGUCUUUUCAAUUUGCAGAGCUGCUAUCACUUGGCAACUUCUACCUAUUAUCAAAGGCUUGGACUACACCAGUUAUCAGAGCCAAAAUCCAUAAUUCAACCAUAAAAAUCUCAUAAGCUAGUAGGCAUUUCACACAUGAUAUUUAGGUUACACAGGGCUUUAAGGCACAACCAGUUUAUUCCCAAUGGAAAAUUUAACAAUUCCUUGAGACAUCAUUAACAAAUUACCUGGCUGCUCUGGACUAGAAGCAUUUAGUUGAGCAUCAUGAGUGUCCUCAGAUGAUAUGGGAACAGGAUAUUGCUGAUAUACAUUUUCAGAUGAGAUGGGUGGUGCAUGUUGCUGGUAAACGAUUUCCUCAUCAAUGAACUGGAAGAUAUCAUUCAGAACAAAGUAGCCUUUCUCCUGGGGAGCCAGGAAAAAAGUCUGCACAAAUUUUCUCCUGCCACUGAAUUCCUUGUUUUUAACAGAACCAGAUACAAGCACCAGAACACCCCCAUUCCAAGAUUCGAGAGAAUUGAUGGUCUUGAUCUCAAUUGCAGUAAAAUUUAGGGACAUAACAAGUGUAUGGAUUUGCAGCAUUGUGGAAGCAGUCUCGCUUGAAUCCCCAUCAACACGAAUCAUGGUGCUGGCAUCAGCGUAGAAUUGAUGAACAAGAUCAGGAUGUUGUUGAAGCACCUGAUAGUACUGUCCUACAAAGUAAGACCCGACCUGAACAGCACUAACAGGUCCUGGAUACGGACUAGCCAUUAUUUAAGCAAAACAAAAUUUCGCUUUUGCUGCCACAAAAGCGCGCAGCCAAGGAGAUCAAAAAUUCAAAAUAGCAGUCUUAGCUUGGUGGAGAUGAAGAUGAUGAUGGGGCCGCAGAUCCAACGGUGUGUUUCUUUAAACCCCGAGAAUUAGGGUUUAUGAUAAAUCUUGGGUUUUUGUAUUUAAACAAAACAAAACCGAUACUUUUAGAUUCUCACACGCACACACAGCGAGCUGGAGAGGAAGAGAGGGAUAAGAUCAUAAGAUAUGACUGCGAGAGAGGGUUUUACGCAGAGAGAGAUGCAAAGGAAGAUGAUAGAUCUAUGAGAAGGGAAGUCUCUGUUUGUGUUGUGAUUCGUUAAUAGAAAAGCACA
rnacentral:misc_RNA from 1 species